rnacentral:rRNA from 1 species
UACGUAGGGUGCAAGCGUUAAUCGGAAUUACUGGGCGUAAAGCGUGCGCAGGCGGUUUUGUAAGUCUGUCGUGAAAUCCCCUGGGCUCAACCUAGGAAUUGCGAUGGAGACUGCAAGGCUAGAAUCUGGCAGAGGGGGGGGUAGAAUUCCACGUGUAGCAGUGAAAUGCGUAGAGAUGUGGAGGAACACCGAUGGCGAAGGCAGCCCCCUGGGUCAAGAUUGACGCUCAUGCACGAAAGCGUGGGGAGCAAACAGG